rfam:Alligator mississippiensis ScZkoYb_881, whole genome shotgun sequence.
UCGUCAGUGAGGUACAUCCUUACCUGUCCCGCCCCCAAGCGGGCGGGGCCGCCGUGAUGAGCGAGAGCGCAUGAGCCGUGAUUAAUUUUCUCGGCGGCGGGCCCGCAACGCCCGCUUGCUCUGUCUGAG